UUAAGGUUUUUUUGUGUGGAAAUGAUGAUGACGAAUCGGUUAUUCAGAAACUGUAAUGCGCUUAAGGGCUUUUAAAGAGACUUGUGUAGUUUCGGAUAGGGUGGCAUAUUCAAUUUUACAUUUCACGACAGGGAUCGAGUGUAAUGGGAGUUCCUAUCGAUUAAUAUCACUUAAAAUCUAUCAGGGUGUAUUUUCAUGCAUCUCAACGAUUAAGGCACACGGGAAGAUUGCACCCUGGGGAUAUUGCCAUGUGUCAUUUUUCAUAGCUGAAUCCCAGGAGCUAACUGCAGACAAGAAAUGACAAUGUUGUGGAGAAAGGAGGAGAAUGGGACUAAUUGGAAAGUGCUUUCAGGUUGCACAGAUGCAGGGAAGAGCAGUUUCCAUCUCUGCCAUCACUUUAUGAUAACAUUGGAGGUAUUUGCACAGUUUCUUAUGGAUAUCCUAAGGGAAAACAUCAGCGGAAAUGUUAACAAAAACAUCUUUUAUCACUAAAGGAAAGUUAUGGAUUUUGAAAAUCUGAAAUAAAAACAGAUUAUACUGGAAACUCUUCAAGUCCAGCAGCAUCUGUGGAAAUGGAAAUAGUUAACAUCACUUUCCACAAAACUGGGGAAGAGGGAGAGAAAAGUUAGUUUUAGGGAGUAGAGAAGAAUGAAGAGGAGUGGUUAGAACAAGGUGAAUGUUUCUGAUAGGCUGAGACUAGAUGACAAUGUGGCAGUUAAGCUGCAGUUAAAAUCAGAUUAAAUUUCUUUGCAUAAUAUUUUGCUUGGUGAUAGGAAACUGAGGGCAGUCGAUGAGGAUUGUCUUUCUGACUGUACCACAGGGAUAGAUGUUGGGACUUUUACUUGGGUGAAAGUGGAAGGUGGUUUGUAAAAGUGGUGGAGUCAUGAACAGCAAAGAAGGUGAUCUGAGGAUACAGUACAAUGUUUCAGCGGUAAGGUUGGGUAGAGUGGUGGUGUAUGAAAGUAAAUCCAUUCAGGUGUGAGGUAAUGCAUUUUAGGGUAUCAAAUUCUAGCAGGAAGUAGACAAUAAAUGCAGAGACCUUAGGAGGGUUGAUGUACAGAGAGACCUUCGGAUGCCAGUUCAUUGUUCCCUGAAAGUGGCAACACAAGUGGAUAGGACAAUGAAGAAGUCAUUUUGAUGCUUGCCCUCAUAGCCGAGGCACCCCGUGUGAGAAUUGGGCCAUCAUGUUGCAGCUAUAUGAAAUAUUGGUUCCAAACCACACUUGGAGUAUUAUGUACAGCUCUGGUCACCACUCUGCAGGGAGUAGGAAACAAUGCUAGAACGACAAUCAGGAAAUUUUGAAGGGAAUGAUCCCUCCACCAUGUCUUGUGGUGGAAUCUUACAGAAGUUGGUAGAAGUUGCAAAGGAUGAUCUAUUGAAUGUGGGGGCCAGUGUGAUAAAGGAAUGGACGGGAAGUUGUGCUUGUUACAGCAGAGACUUGGGAGUAGAGGUGUGGAAAUAGAUGGGAUGCAAUCAAGGGAUCUAAUCCAACAUGUAAAGGGCAAGUUAUAGUUCAGGAAGACUUUAAUCAAAUUCUCCAACUUCAGGUAACUUGCUUCUUUGUCUGCAUUGGAAGUGGACAUUUUUGCCAUUCAUCAUUUUGGGUCAUUUUUUUAGUGUGGCUGCUGGGCAAGUCCCACAGCCUUAACCAUUUCCAAUACAUUACAAGGACAAGGAAGUUUAAUCUGAUUUUAACUGCUAUUUAAUACUGGGCUAUCUGGUUUUACCCAUCUCUACCCCAUCAUUUCUGCUAUCUAAAGCCAGCUUGUUUUCAGUCUUAAACUGUUCUGAAAAAAGGAUCCUGGGCCUACAAGUUUAACUGUUUCUCUUUUCAUCGAUGCCACUUGACCCGCUUUGCAUUUCUUGCUUUUAUUUAUCUCCACCUUUGUCAGGAUCAGUGUGAGUUAGCCUGAUGCAAAAGAAUUCUACACAUCAAAAUUCAAGUAUAUGUAUUAUCAAAGUAUGUAUAUGUUACCAUAGAUUAACUUGAGAUUUAUCUUCUAGCAGGUGUUUAUGGGGAAAAUAAAUAAAUUAAAUUUUACAAGAUACUAUACAAGACCAACUGCAAAUAAAAAUAAUGCCCAGAACAUGUGUUGUAAAGAGUCUUUGAAAGUGAGUCUGUAGGUUGUGGAAUUAGUUCACAUAUACUGUGAUUUAACUGUAAUCUCCAGAAAAUGGUUUUUAAAUUCCUUCUGCAUGAUGUUGCUACAGUAUCUUGCAGUGGGCACUUUUUAAAUUCAAAUUUGUAUAACGUCACAUUUUUUGAUGACAGAGAAGAACAUUUUUUCCAUUAAGUUGAACCAUUUAGCAAAGGUGGAAGGGCAGUGUGUUUACCAAUUCUACAAGUAAUGCUGAACCUCCUUAUGUUCACAAUUUACACUGUAGCUAAUGAUAUAACUUUUAAUCGAGUGGAAACAUAUUCUAAUGCACACAUUUAUUUAACACAAUGCUCCCUACCACAGAAAUAUGAUUAAACCAGAACAACCUGGGGAUGAGUACUUAUUCAACAUAAUUUAUGUGUUUUGAUGUUUCGGAAUUUAGUAUUUAUUGACGAGAACUGUUGUUAAACAGCUCUUUGGAGCAAGGAUGAGAUUUAUUUUGCUUGUUACUUGUGCAAAAUUAUGAACUGACCUGAAAAUGAUACCCUUGUGCUGAAGGUCCAGUUACUACUCACCUGUUUGUUAUAAAUACAUUGGUUAGACAAAUUUAAAAUCAAUUACCAAAAUGAAGUGCAACCUGUAAUUUUAAUUUUCAGUAUCUUCUUUAUCUGACAAGUUCAUGGUAAGAUUAGUGAAAGCAGCUUUGUGAGACACUGUAAUUGUCCAAGCGCUACAAAAACUAGUGGAAUCUGCUUUUUGAUGGCCUUAAACCCACAGGUUAGCCAGCCAGGCACAUAAAUAACAGCACAGAUCUAACUGCUUUGUUAUUUAUCAGUAGGUUGAUGAGAUUUUUGACUACUUACUAUUUGAAUACGUUUGAAAGUAGGAAAUCUCGUUAGAUUUUGAUUUGUUUGAAGACUGGAGAAUAGCAAGUGUUGUUCCUUUGUUUAAGGACAACAGGGACAAACCUAGGAAAUUAAGCCUAACAUCAGUGAUACAGAAAUUGGAGUCGUUUCUUAGGGACAGGAUUUACUCACAUUUGGAAAAGCGUGAAUUUGUCGGUGAAAAUUUGUAUGGGGCAGGUUCUGUCUCACAACUGUGACUGAAUUUUUUAGGAAGGUCAUAAAUAUCAUUGAUGUUAGGGUUAUGGAUAUUGUCUACGUGGACAACGUGGUAAAGCAUCGGACAAUAGACUGGUCCAGAAGAUGAAGUCAUGUGGCAAGUUGGUAAAUUGGAUACAAAAUAAGCCUGGUUAUAGAAGACAGAAGGAAGGAUUUUUCUCUGAUUGGAGGUCUGUGACCUGUGGUAUUCUGCAGGGACCAAUGCGCCGACUUCUACUAUUUUGUGAUAUCUGGUUCUGGGUGAAAAUGUAAAUUGGCUGAUUAGUAAGUUUAGAAUGACACAAAAAUUGGUUAAGUUGAAUACAGUGAAGAAUGUUGUCAAAGGAUACAGCAGAAUGUAAAUUAGUUUGAAAUUUAGGUGAAGAAAUCGCAGAUGGAGAUUAAUCCAGACAAAUGUAAGGUAAUGCAUUUUGGAGGUUUAGUGGAAAAGGCAAGAAUACAGUAAAUGGCAAGACCCUUGGGGAGCUUUGAUGUAAAAAGGGAUUUUGGAUGCAAGUACAUAAACCCCUGAAAUUGGUAACGCAAACUGAUAGGUUAGUUAAGAAGGUAUAUGGUCUGUUUGGCUUCAUUGUUUGGGUCAUUGAGUAUAAAAUUUGAAGUCAUGUUGUAGAUAACUUAAACUUUGGUUCAGCUGAUUUGGUGUAUUGU